rnacentral:ncRNA from 1 species
AGCGACAAAGGCAAACCCUGAGUGAUCAGGGGACGCAAAGUAACAGGGUCUCUGGGUUUGCACGACGAAGAAACUCCAGCAGCAGCAGCAGCAGCAGCAGAAAGAUAGCCUUACUGCCGAAG